ensembl:snRNA U1 U1 spliceosomal RNA
AUACUUACCUGGCAGGGGAGAUACCAUGAUCACGAAGGUGGUUUUCCCAGGGCGAGGCUCACCCAUUGCACUCCGGAUGUGCUGACCCCUGCGAUUUCCCCAAAUGCGGGAAACUCGACUGCAUAAUUUGUGGUAGUGGGGGACUGCGUUCGCGCUCUCCCCUG